UACGUAGGGAGCAAGCGUUGUCCGGAAUCAUUGGGCGUAAAGCGCGCGUAGGCGGCCCUGUAAGUCCGCUCUGAAAGUCCAAGGCUCAACCUUGGAAAGCGGGUGGAUACUGCACGGCUAGAGUGUGUCAGAGGGGGGUAGAAUUCCACGUGUAGCAGUGAAAUGCGUAGAGAUGUGGAGGAAUACCGAUGGCGAAGGCAGCCCCCUGGGAUAACACUGACGCUCAUGCACGAAAGCGUGGGGAGCAAACAGG
rnacentral:rRNA from 1 species